UGGGGAAUAUUGGACAAUGGGGGCAACCCUGAUCCAGCGAUGCCGCGUGUGUGAAGAAGGCCUGAGGGUUGUAAAGCACUUUAGUUGUUGAGGAAGGUUGUGUGGUGAAUACCCGCAUGACUUGACGGUAAACAAAGAAUAAGCACCGGCUAACUCUGUGCCAGCAGCCGCGGUAAUACAUAGGGUGCAAGCGUUGUCCGGAAUUAUUGGGCGUAAAGAGCUCGUAGGUGGUUCGUCACGUCGGAUGUGAAAAUCUGGGGCUUAACCCCAGACCUGCAUUCGAUACGGGCGAGCUAGAGUGUGGUAGGGGAGACUGGAAUUCCUGGUGUAGCGGUGGAAUGCGCAGAUAUCAGGAGGAACACCAAUGGCGAAGGCAGGUCUCUGGGCCAUUACUGACACUGAGGAGCGAAAGCGUGGGGAGCGAACAGGAUUAGAUACCCGUGUAGUCCCUGAGCGGGCUGGCAAGGCGCAU
rnacentral:rRNA from 1 species